rnacentral:rRNA from 1 species
CGCUAGCGGCAGGCUUAACACAUGCAAGUCGAGGGGCAUCGCGAGUGGCAACACUUGGCGGCGACCGGCGAAAGGGUGCGUAACACGUGAGCAACCUGCCCGUAUCAGGGGGACAAGCGCUGGAAACGGCGUCUAACACCGCAUAACACCGUAGACGGCAUCAUAUACGGUUGAAAUUUAAGGAGGAUACGGAUGGGCUCGUGGGGCAUUAGCUAGUCGGCGGGGUAACGGCCCACCGAGGCGACGAUGUCUAGGGGAACUGAGAGGUUUAUCCCCCACACUGGAACUGAGACACGGUCCAGACUCCUACGGGAGGCAGCAGUGAGGAAUAUUGGACAAUGGUCGGAAGACUGAUCCAGCCAUGCCGCGUGAAGGACAAGGUCCUAUGGAUUUUAAACUUCUUUUGCGCGUGAGCAAUAAGGGCUAUGCAUAGUUCCGAUGAGAUUAGCGCGCGAAUAAGCAUCGGCUAACUCCGUGCCACCAGCCGCGGAAAUACGGGAGGAUGCGAGCGUUAUCCGGAUUUAUUGGGGUUUAAAGGGUGCGAAAGCAGGGACGUCAAAGUCACCGGUGGAAAUGUCCGGGCCCCAACCCCGGGAACUGCCGUUGAAACUGACGACCUGGAAUGCGGAUGCUGUGGGAGGAAUGUGUGGUGUAGCGGUGAAAUGCAUAGAUAUCACACAGAACACCGAUUGCGAAGGCAUCUCACAAAUCCGUUAUUGACGCUGAGGCACGAAAGUGCGGGGAUCGAACAGGAUUAGAUACCCUGGUAGUCCGCACAGUAAACGAUGAUGACUUGUUGUCGGCGAUAGACGGUCGGCGACAAAGCGAAAGCGAUAAGUCAUCCACCUGGGGAGUACGAUCGCAAGGUUGAAACUCAAAGGAAUUGACGGGGGCCCGCACAAGCGGAGGAGCAUGUGGUUUAAUUCGAUGAUACGCGAGGAACCUUACCCAGACUCAAAUGGGGGCCGGCAGGCGCGGAGACGCGCCCUCCCUCCGGGGCGGCCUUCAAGGUGCUGCAUGGUUGUCGUCAGCUCGUGCCGUGAGGUGUCAGGUUAAGUCCUAUAACGAGCGCAACCCCUACGUCCAGUUGCCAGCGGGUCGAGCCGGGGACUCUGGACGGACUGCCGGCGCAAGCCGAGAGGAAGGCGGGGAUGACGUCAAAUCAGCACGGCCCUUACGUCUGGGGCGACACACGUGCUACAAUGGCCGGUACAAAGAGACGCGAUACCGCGAGGUGGAGCAAAACUCAUAAAGCCGGUCUCAGUUCAGAUUGGAGUCUGCAAUUCGACUCCAUGAAGGCGGAAUUACUAGUAAUCGCGAAUCAGCAUGUCGCGGUGAAUACGUUCCCGGGGUUUGCACUCACCGCCCGUCA